rnacentral:rRNA from 1 species
AUACGAAGGGUGCAAGCGUUAAUCGGAUUUACUGGGCGUAAAGCGCGCGUAGGUGGCUAAUUAAGUCAAAUGUGAAAUCCCCGAGCUUAACUUGGGAAUUGCAUUCGAUACUGGUUAGCUAGAGUAUGGGAGAGGAUGGUAGAAUUCCAGGUGUAGCGGUGAAAUGCGUAGAGAUCUGGAGGAAUACCGAUGGCGAAGGCAACCAUCUAGCCUAAUACUGACGAUGAGGUGCGAAAGCAUGGGGAGCAAACAGGAUUAGAUACCCUGGUAGUCCAUGCCGUAAACGAUGUCUACUAGCCGUUGGGGCCGUUGAGGCUUUAGUGGCGCAGCUAACGCGAUAAGUGAGCCGCCUGGGGAGUACGGUCGCAAGACUAAAACUCAAAUGAAUUGACGGGG